rnacentral:piRNA from 1 species
UUUAAUUAAGAAAAAGAAAGUCUGUCUCAA